GGAGACGGGUUAAAGAUGAAGGGGAGGAGACGGGUUAAAGAUGAAGGGGAGGAGACGGGUUAAAGAUGAAGGGGAGGAGACGGGUUAAAGAUGAAGGGGAGGAGACGGGUUAAAGAUGAAGGGGAGGAGACGGGUUAAAGAUGAAGGGGAGGAGACGGGUUAAAGAUGAAGGGGAGGAGACGGGUUAAAGAUGAAGGGGAGGAGACGGGUUAAAGAUGAAGGGGAGGAGACGGGUUAAAGAUGAAGGGGAGGAGACGGGUUAAAGAUGAAGGGGAGGAGACGGGUUAAAGAUGAAGGGGAGGAGACGGGUUAAAGAUGAAGGGGAGGAGACGGGUUAAAGAUGAAGGGGAGGAGACGGGUUAAAGAUGAAGG